rnacentral:lncRNA from 1 species
ACACCGUGGGCUGCGGGCGCGGUGGAGCCCGGGGACGGCCUGGUGUCCGGGGCCGAGGUGACACCGUGGGCUGGGGGGGCGGUGGAGCCCGGGGCCGGCCUGGUGUCCGGGGCCGAGGUGACACCGUGGGCUGGGGGGGCGGUGGAGCCCGGGGCCGGCCUGGUGUCCGGGGCCGAGGUGACACCGUGGGCUGGGGGGGCGGUGGAGCCCGGGGCCGGCCUGGUGUCCGGGGCCGAGGUGACACCGUGGGCUGGGGGGGCGGUGGAGCCCGGGGCCGGCCUGGUGUCCGGGGCCGAGGUGACACCGUGGGCUGGGGGGGCGGUGGAGCCCGGGGCCGGCCUGCUCUCCGGGGCCGAGGUGACACCGUGGGCUGGGGGGGCGGUGGAGCCCGGGGCCGGCCUGCUCUCCGGGGCCGAGGUGACACCGUGGGCUGCGGGCGCGGUGGAGCCCGGGGCCGGCCUGCUCUCCGGGGCCGAGGUGACACCGUGGGCUGCGGGCGCGGUGGAGCCCGGGGCCGGCCUGGUGUCCGGGGCCGAGGUGACACCGUGGGCUGCGGGCGCGGUGGAGCCCGGGGCGGGCCUGGUGUCCGGGGCCGAGGUGACACCGUGGGCUGCGGGCGCGGUGGAGCCCGGG